rnacentral:rRNA from 2 species
GACGAACCGUGCGAACGUUGUUCGGAAUCACUGGGCUUAAAGGGCGCGUAGGUGGUUUGCCAAGUCGGGGUUGAAAUCUUUCGGCUUAACCGGAAAAGUGGCUUCGAUACUGGCAAGCUGGAGGGAGGUAGGGGCGGAUGGAACUUCCGGUGGAGCGGUGAAAUGUGUUGAUAUCGGAAGGAACGCCGGUGGCGAAAGCGAUCCGCUGGACCUCUUCUGACACUGAGGCGCGAAAGCCAGGGGAGCAAACGGG